CCUCCUUUUCUUGGCAGGGACCAAGCGUGUGUGCUCCCUUUCCCGGUUAUAUAAGGAGGCAGAGGGAAAGGGCUCCGGCCUCCUAGGCAUCAUGGUGUCAUGUCUUUCUGCGGCGACUUCUUAUUCUCCGUUUCUAUCCUCAAGGACCGAGAUGCUG
rnacentral:snoRNA from 1 species